GAUGAACGCUGGCGGCGUGCCUAAUACAUGCAAGUCGAGCGAACGGACGAGAAGCUUGCUUCUCUGAUGUUAGCGGCGGACGGGUGAGUAACACGUGGAUAACCUACCUAUAAGACUGGGAUAACUUCGGGAAACCGGAGCUAAUACCGGAUAAUAUUUUGAACCGCAUGGUUCAAAAGUGAAAGACGGUCUUGCUGUCACUUAUAGAUGGAUCCGCGCUGCAUUAGCUAGUUGGUAAGGUAACGGCUUACCAAGGCAACGAUGCAUAGCCGACCUGAGAGGGUGAUCGGCCACACUGGAACUGGGCCACGGUCCAGACUCCUACGGGAGGCAGCAGUAGGGAAUCGUACGCAAUGGGCGAAAGCCUGACGGAGCAACGCGGCGUGAGUGAUGAAGGUCUUCGGAUCGUAAAACUCUGUUAUUAGGGAAGAAAAGAUGUGUAAGCAACUGUGCACAUCUUGACGGUACCUAAUCAGAAAGCCACGGCUAACUACGUG
rnacentral:rRNA from 1 species